UACGUAGGUGGCAAGCGUUGUCCGGAUUUACUGGGCGUAAAGAGCGCGCAGGCGGUCGGAUUAGUCGCGUGUGAAAGCCCCCGGCUCAACUGGGGAGGGUCACGCGAUACUGUUCGACUCGAAGGCAGGAGAGGGAAGUGGAAUUCCCGGUGUAGUGGUGAAAUGCGUAGAUAUCGGGAGGAACACCAGUGGCGAAGGCGACUUCCUGGCCUGUUCUUGACGCUGAGGAGCGAAAGUGUGGGGAGCGAACAGG
rnacentral:rRNA from 1 species